rnacentral:rRNA from 1 species
AACGAACGCUGGCGGCAUGCCUAAUACAUGCGAGUCGAACGAGAUCUUCGGAUCUAGUGGCGCACGGGUGCGUAACGCGUGGGAAUCUGCCCUUGGGUUCGGAAUAACUUCUGGAAACGGAAGCUAAUACCGGAUGAUGACGUAAGUCCAAAGAUUUAUCGCCCAAGGAUGAGCCCGCGUAGGAUUAGGUAGUUGGUGAGGUAAAGGCUCACCAAGCCGACGAUCCUUAGCUGGUCUGAGAGGAUGAUCAGCCACACUGGGACUGAGACACGGCCCAGACUCCUACGGGAGGCAGCAGUAGGGAAUAUUGGACAAUGGGCGAAAGCCUGAUCCAGCAAUGCCGCGUGAGUGAUGAAGGCCUUAGGGUUGUAAAGCUCUUUUACCCGGGAUGAUAAUGACAGUACCGGGAGAAUAAGCGCCGGCUAACUCCGUG